AUACUUACCUGGCAAGGGAGAUACCGUGAUCAAGAAGGCGGUUCACCCAGGGCGAGGCUCAGCCAUUGCACUCCGGCUGUGCUGACCCCUGCGAAUUUCCCGAAAUGUGGAAAUCUCGAUUGCAUAAUUU
rnacentral:snRNA from 8 species